UACGUAGGGUCCGAGCGUUGUCCGGAAUUACUGGGCGUAAAGAGCUCGUAGGUGGUUUGUCGCGUUGUUCGUGAAAACUCACAGCUCAACUGUGGGCGUGCGGGCGAUACGGGCAGACUAGAGUACUGCAGGGGAGACUGGAAUUCCUGGUGUAGCGGUGAAAUGCGUAGAUAUCUGGAGGAAUACCGGUGGCGAAGGCGGCAUCCUGGACCGACAUUGACGCUGAGGAGCGAAAGCUAGGGGAGCAAACGGG
rnacentral:rRNA from 1 species